rnacentral:rRNA from 1 species
AUUGAACGCUGGCGGCAGGCCUAACACAUGCAAGUCGAGCGAGCGGCGGACGGGUGAGUAAUGUCUGGGAAACUGCCUGAUGGAGGGGGAUAACUACUGGAAACGGUAGCUAAUACCGCAUACCAUCAGAUGUGCCCAGAUGGGAUUAGCUAGUAGGUGGGGUAACGGCUCACCUAGGCGACGAUCCCUAGCUGGUCUGAGAGGAUGACCGGCCACACGGGAACGGAGACACGGUCCAGACUCCUACGGGAGGCAGAAGUGGGGAAGAUUGCACAAGGGGCGAAAGCCUGAUACAGCCAUGCGGCGUGUAUGAAGAAGGCCUUCGGGUUGUAAAGUACUUUCAGCGGGGAGGCGUUACCCGCAGAAGAAGCACCGGCUAACUCCGUGCCAGCAGCCGGGGUAAUAC